GCACUGCUGAGGAGUCCAAUAAUAGGAUGAAACAGCCGUCCAUUAC
rnacentral:hammerhead_ribozyme from 1 species